UUUUCUUCGGUUUUUGAGUGUUCCCUUCGCUACCGACUUCAGAAGCGCGCGUAACAAGCAGUUCUUCUUCGGGUUGUAGUAACACUUGUUGUAAACUGCGAGUAAAGAUCGAUGUUAUACACUUAUAGCGCGUCGAAGCAAUGCACACUCGUUUUCCAAGAAAACAGGGGCCUCCAUGCAACCUUUUGCCCAAGCAUGUAG
rnacentral:lncRNA from 1 species